GAUGAACGCUGGCGGCGUGCCUAAUACAUGCCAGUCGAGCGAACAGACGAGGAGCUUGCUCCUCUGACGUUAGCGGCGGACGGGUGAGUAACACGUGGAUAACCUACCUAUAAGACUGGGAUAACUUCGGGAAACCGGAGCUAAUACCGGAUAAUAUAUUGAACCGCAUGGUUCAAUAGUGAAAGACGGUUUUGCUGUCACUUAUAGAUGGAUCCGCGCCGCAUUAGCUAGUUGGUAAGGUAAAGGCUUACCAAGGCGACGAUGCGUAGCCGACGUGAGAGGGUGAUCGGCCACACUGGAACUGGGACACGGACCAGACUCCUGCGAGAGGCAGCAGUAGGGAAUCUGCCGCAAUGGGCGAGAGCCUGACGGAGCAACGCGGCGUGAGUGAUGAAGGUCUUCGGAGCGUAAAACUCUGUUAUUAGGGAAGAACAAAUGUGGAAGUAACUAUGCACGUCGUGACGGUACCGAAUCAGAAAGCCACGGCUAACUACGUG
rnacentral:rRNA from 1 species